rnacentral:rRNA from 1 species
GCAGCACGGAGCUUGCUCUGGUGGCGAGUGGCGAACGGGUGAGUAAUGCGUCGGAACGUAUCCAAUAAUGGGGGAUAACGCAGCGAAAGCUGUGCUAAUACCGCAUACGCCCUCCGGGGGAAAGCAGGGGAUCUUAGGACCUUGCGUUAAUGGAGCGGCCGACGUCUGAUUAGCUAGUUGGUAGGGUAAAGGCCUACCAAGGCGACGAUCAGUAGCUGGUCUGAGAGGAUGAUCAGCCACACUGGGACUGAGACACGGCCCAGACUCCUACGGGAGGCAGCAGUGGGGAAUUUUGGACAAUGGGCGCAAGCCUGAUCCAGCCAUUCCGCGUGAGUGAAGAAGGCCUUCGGGUUGUAAAGCUCUUUCAGGAGGGAAGAAACGAUUGUGGCUAAUACCCAUGAUUAAUGACGGUACCUUCAGAAGAAGCACCGGCUAACUACGUGCCAGCAGCCGCGGUAAUACGUAGGGUGCGAGCGUUAAUCGGAAUUACUGGGCGUAAAGCGUGCGCAGGCGGUUUUUCAAGUCUGAUGUGAAAUCCCCGGGCUUAACCUGGGAACUGCGUUGGAAACUGAAAGACUAGAGUGCGGCAGAGGGGGGUAGAAUUCCACGUGUAGCAGUGAAAUGCGUAGAUAUGUGGAGGAAUACCGAUGGCGAANGCAGCCCCCUGGGUCGACACUGACGCUCAUGCACGAAAGCGUGGGUAGCAAACAGGAUUAGAUACCCUGGUAGUCCACGCCCUAAACGAUGUCAACUAGUUGUUGGGGAGGGAGACCUCCUUAGUAACGCAGCUAACGCGUGAAGUUGACCGCCUGGGGAGUACGGUCGCAAGAUUAAAACUCAAAGGAAUUGACGGGGGCCCGCACAAGCGGUGGNUUA